rnacentral:rRNA from 1 species
GACGAACGCUGGCGGCGUGCUUAACACAUGCAAGUCGAACGGAAAGGCCCUGCUUUUGUGGGGUGCUCGAGUGGCGAACGGGUGAGUAACACGUGAGUAACCUGCCCUUGACUUUGGGAUAACUUCAGGAAACUGGGGCUAAUACCGGAUAGGAGCUCCCGCUGCAUGGUGGGGGUUGGAAAGUUUCGGCGGUUGGGGAUGGACUCGCGGCUUAUCAGCUUGUUGGUGGGGUAGUGGCUUACCAAGGCUUUGACGGGUAGCCGGCCUGAGAGGGUGACCGGCCACAUUGGGACUGAGAUACGGCCCAGACUCCUACGGGAGGCAGCAGUGGGGAAUAUUGCACAAUGGGCGGAAGCCUGAUGCAGCAACGCCGCGUGCGGGGUGACGGCCUUCGGGUUGUAAACCGCUUUCGCCUGUGACGAAGCGUGAGUGACGGUAAUGGGUAAAGAAGCACCGGCUAACUACGUG